rnacentral:rRNA from 1 species
AUUCGUCACACUAUCAUUAACUGAAUCCAUAGGUUAAUGAGGCGAACCGGGGGAACUGAAACAUCUAAGUACCCCGAGGAAAAGAAAUCAACCGAGAUUCCCCCAGUAGCGGCGAGCGAACGGGGAGGAGCCCAGAGCCUGAAUCAGUGUGUGUGUUAGUGGAAGCGUCUGGAAAGGCGCGCGAUACAGGGUGACAGCCCCGUACACAAAAAUGCACAUAUUGUGAGCUCGAUGAGUAGGGCGGGACACGUGGUAUCCUGUCUGAAUAUGGGGGGACCAUUCUCCAAGGCUAAAUACUCCUGACUGACCGAUAGUGAACCAGUACCGUGAGGGAAAGGCGAAAAGAACCCCGGCGAGGGGAGUGAAAAAGAACCUGAAACCGUGUACGUACAAGCAGUGGGAGCCUCUUUAUGGGGUGACUGCGUACCUUUUGUAUAAUGGGUCAGCGACUUAUAUUCUGUAGCAAGGUUAACCGAAUAGGGGAGCCGAAGGGAAACCGAGUCUUAACUGGGCGUUAAGUUGCAGGGUAUAGACCCGAAACC